rnacentral:tRNA from 1 species
GGGCAGAUGGCCGAGCGGUCGAAGGCAACGGUCUUGAAAACCGUAGGCCGGAAACGGUCCGAGGGUUCGAAUCCCUCUCUGCCCGCCA